rnacentral:rRNA from 1 species
CGUAACACGUGAAGAAUUUGUCCAUCGGCGGGGGAUAGCCGGCCCAACAGCCGGGUAAUACCGCGUACGACCUUCGGGGGCAUCCCCUGAAGGUGAAAGCCGCAAGGCGCCUAUGGAGAACUUCGCGGCCUAUCAGCUAGUUGGUGAGGUCAUGGCUCACCAAGGCGACGACGGGUAGCUGGUCCGAGAGGAUGACCAGCCACAUUGGGACUGAGAGACGGCCCAG